GAUGAACGCUGGCGGCGUGCCUAAUACAUGCAAGUCGAGCGAACAGACGAGGAGCUUGCUCCUCUGACGUUAGCGGCGGACGGGUGAGUAACACGUGGAUAACCUACCUAUAAGACUGGGAUAACUUCGGGAAACCGGAGCUAAUACCGGAUAAUAUAUUGAACCGCAUGGUUCAAUAGUGAAAGACGGUUUUGCUGUCACUUAUAGAUGGAUCCGCGCCGCAUUAGCUAGUUGGUAAGGUAACGGCUUACCAAGGCGACGAUGCGUAGCCGACCUGAGAGGGUGAUCGGCCACACUGGAACUGAGACACGGUCCAGACUCCUACGGGAGGCAGCAGUAGGAAUCUUCCGCAAUGGGCGAAAGCCUGACGGAGCAACGCCGCGUGAGUGAUGAAGGUCUUCGGAUCGUAAAACUCUGUUAUUAGGGAAGAACAAAUGUGUAAGUAACUAUGCACGUCUUGACGGUACCUAAUCAGAAAGCCACGGCUAACUACGUG
rnacentral:rRNA from 1 species